AUGGAGUCUUGCUCUGUCUCCCAGGCUGGAGUGCAGUGGUGUGAUCUUGACUCACUGCAAGCUCCAUCCACUGGGUUCAUGCCAUUCUCCUGCCUCAGCAGCUGGGACUACAGGUGCCCGCCACCACGCCUGGCUAAUGUUUUGUAUUUUUAGUAGAGACGGGGUUUCACUGUGUUAGCCAGGAUGGUCUCGAUCUCCUGACCUCGCGAUCCGCCCACCUCAGCCUCCCAAAGUGUUGGAAUUACAGGUGUGAGCCACCACGCCCGGCCAAUACAUUCUUUAAUUCACCAAGUAUUUGCUAAGCAUCUGUUAUGUGUCAAGUUCUGUACUAGCAACUAAGGACCAAUGACAAAUAAGACUUAGUCCCCACUAGGUAACUUAACAGUUCUCAGGGGUAGGUAGAGAUGUCAAUAAGUCAUUGCAAUAGAGUGUGAUAAGGGCCCCAGGAGAGACACAAAGUUUUGUGGCACAUAGAAGCAGAGAAGGUUUAACAGAAGAGGUAUUUUUUUUUUUUUUUGAGACAGGAUCUCACUGUGUUGCCCAGGCUGGAGUGCAGUGGUGCAGUUAUAGCUCACUGCAACUUCCACCUCACGGGUUCAAGUGAUUCUCCCACCUCAACCUCCUGAGUAGCUGGGACUACAGGUACAUGCCACCAUACCUAACUAAUUUCUGUACUUUUGUAAAGAUGGGUUUUCACCCCAUUGGCCAGGCUGGUCUCCAACUGCUGACCUCAAGUUAUCCUCCCACCUGAGCCUCCCAAAGUGCUGGGAUUACAAGCGUGAGCCACCACACCCAGCCUGAAGCAGUCAUAUUUUACCUGAGUUGUAAACAAUUAAUAAAAAUUGCCAAAUAAAUAAGGGGUACAUGAUCAUCUGAGAAAAUCAUCAUCAUCAGCACCAUCAUCAUCAGUACCACCACCAUCACUCUGUAAUUACCUCCUAUGUGCCAGACAUUCUACUAAGCCUUCCGUAUAUAUUAACUCAUUUGAUCCUCUCAGCAAACCACAAGGAGGUAUUGUAAUCCCCACUCUGGAGUCCUGUUUUCCAAAGGGAGGAGGAACUUCCCUUCUGGUCUCUAGGAUAAGAGAGGAGGCCUGUCUGAGUAAAU
rnacentral:lncRNA from 1 species